UCCUUCAAAAGGAAUGGGCGGAGACUGCGGCCCACCCGGCCCCACCCAGCCGAAUGUGACCGUGCUGCUCCACCACCGUUUCUGUGCCUACUUGGGUGUGACCCUGCAGCACAGAGCCAGGGCGAAGCCUGCGAUUAGAGGCAGCCAGAGUCCCCUAAAAGCCGCAGUGCUCCAUCUCCCUAAGAGCACCGAUCUUUGGAGAAGUAUCAAAGGGACCCACUCGCCGUUCACAUACUUCCAGCGGUGGGUGUCGGCGGGGGCGAAAUCGAGCAGGAUGGAG